UAGCGCGGUGGUCCCACCUGACCCCAUGCCGAACUCAGAGAAGUGAAACGCCGUAGCGCCGAUGGUAGUGUGGGGUCUCCCCAUGCGAGAGUAGGGAACUGCCAGGC
rnacentral:rRNA from 1 species